rnacentral:rRNA from 1 species
UUCUGAUAAUUGGUCUGAAAUCGAGCAAGAAACCCGCUGAACUUAAGCAUAUCAAUAAGCGGAGGAAAAGAAACUAACAAGGAUUCCCCUAGUAACGGCGAGUGAAGCGGGAAUAGCUCAAAUUUGAAAUCUCAUAGGUUUUACCUGUGCGAAUUGUAGUUUAAAGAAACGUUUUCGGGAGCGGCUUGGGUAUAAGUCCUUUGGAAAGAGGCACCUAAGAGGGUGACAGUCCCGUGCAUGAUCCAAUGUCCGCUUCUAUGUGAUACGUUCUCAAAGAGUCAGGUAGUUUGGGAUUGCUGCCUAAAAUGGGUGGUAAAUACCAUCUAAAGCUAAAUAUUGGCGAGAGACCGAUAGCGAACAAGUACCGUGAGGGAAAGAUGAAAAGAACUUUGAAAAGAGAGUUAAACAGUACGUGAAAUUGCCAAAAGGGAAACGCUUGGAACCAGUAUUGUUUGCAUGUAAUCAAGUACACGUUCCGCAAGGGUCGCGUGUGCUGCACUUGCGUGUAGACAGGCCAACAUCAGUUUGAUUUGAGGUACAAAGCCUGAGAAAGGUAGCUUGGACUUGUCUGAGUGUUAUAGUCUCUGAUCAUGCCUUGGAUUGGACUGAGGACUGCAGCGUUUUUUGGGUUACCUGGUGGCUGCUUGAAACCAACCUUUAGACAGCAUGCUGACUUUGGGCGGGCGUAGGGUACUCACUAGGAUAACCACACCAGCGCUUAGGAUGUCGGCGAAAUGGUUCCAAACGACC